rnacentral:rRNA from 1 species
UUAAGCGACUAAGCGUACACGGUGGAUGCCCUGGCAGUCAGAGGCGAUGAAGGACGUGCUAAUCUGCGAUAAGCGUCGGUAAGGUGAUAUGAACCGUUAUAACCGGCGAUUUCCGAAUGGGGAAACCCAGUGUGAUUCGUCACACUAUCAUUAACUGAAUCCAUAGGUUAAUGAGGCGAACCGGGGGAACUGAAACAUCUAAGUACCCCGAGGAAAAGAAAUCAACCGAGAUUCCCCCAGUAGCGGCGAGCGAACGGGGAGCAGCCCAGAGCCUGAAUCAGUGUGUGUGUUAGUGGAAGCGUCUGGAAAGGCGCGCGAUACAGGGUGACAGCCCCGUACACAAAAAUGCACAUGCUGUGAGCUCGAUGAGUAGGGCGGGACACGUGGUAUCCUGUCUGAAUAUGGGGGGACCAUCCUCCAAGGCUAAAUACUCCUGACUGACCGAUAGUGAACCAGUACCGUGAGGGAAAGGCGAAAAGAACCCCGGCGAGGGGAGUGAAAAAGAACCUGAAACCGUGUACGUACAAGCAGUGGGAGCACAGAGCAAUCUGUGUGACUGCGUACCUUUUGUAUAAUGGGUCAGCGACUUAUAUUCUGUAGCAAGGUUAACCGAAUAGGGGAGCCGAAGGGAAACCGAGUCUUAACUGGGCGUUAAGUUGCAGGGUAUAGACCCGAAACCCGGUGAUCUAGCCAUGGGCAGGUUGAAGGUUGGGUAACACUAACUGGAGGACCGAACCGACUAAUGUUGAAAAAUUAGCGGAUGACUUGUGGCUGGGGGUGAAAGGCCAAUCAAACCGGGAGAUAGCUGGUUCUCCCCGAAAGCUAUUUAGGUAGCGCCUCGUGAAUUCAUCUCCGGGGGUAGAGCACUGUUUCGGCAAGGGGGUCAUCCCGACUUACCAACCCGAUGCAAACUGCGAAUACCGGAGAAUGUUAUCACGGGAGACACACGGCGGGUGCUAACGUCCGUCGUGAAGAGGGAAACAACCCAGACCGCCAGCUAAGGUCCCAAAGUCAUGGUUAAGUGGGAAACGAUGUGGGAAGGCCCAGACAGCCAGGAUGUUGGCUUAGAAGCAGCCAUCAUUUAAAGAAAGCGUAAUAGCUCACUGGUCGAGUCGGCCUGCGCGGAAGAUGUAACGGGGCUAAACCAUGCACCGAAGCUGCGGCAGCGACGCUGAUGCGUUGUUGGGUAGGGGAGCGUUCUGUAAGCCUGCGAAGGUGUGCUGUGAGGCAUGCUGGAGGUAUCAGAAGUGCGAAUGCUGACAUAAGUAACGAUAAAGCGGGUGAAAAGCCCGCUCGCCGGAAGACCAAGGGUUCCUGUCCAACGUUAAUCGGGGCAGGGUGAGUCGACCCCUAAGGCGAGGCCGAAAGGCGUAGUCGAUGGGAAACAGGUUAAUAUUCCUGUACUUGGUGUUACUGCGAAGGGGGGACGGAGAAGGCUAUGUUGGCCGGGCGACGGUUGUCCCGGUUUAAGCGUGUAGGCUGGUUUUCCAGGCAAAUCCGGAAAAUCAAGGCUGAGGCGUGAUGACGAGGCACUACGGUGCUGAAGCAACAAAUGCCCUGCUUCCAGGAAAAGCCUCUAAGCAUCAGGUAACAUCAAAUCGUACCCCAAACCGACACAGGUGGUCAGGUAGAGAAUACCAAGGCGCUUGAGAGAACUCGGGUGAAGGAACUAGGCAAAAUGGUGCCGUAACUUCGGGAGAAGGCACGCUGAUAUGUAGGUGAAGUCCCUCGCGGAUGGAGCUGAAAUCAGUCGAAGAUACCAGCUGGCUGCAACUGUUUAUUAAAAACACAGCACUGUGCAAACACGAAAGUGGACGUAUACGGUGUGACGCCUGCCCGGUGCCGGAAGGUUAAUUGAUGGGGUCAGCGCAAGCGAAGCUCUUGAUCGAAGCCCCGGUAAACGGCGGCCGUAACUAUAACGGUCCUAAGGUAGCGAAAUUCCUUGUCGGGUAAGUUCCGACCUGCACGAAUGGCGUAAUGAUGGCCAGGCUGUCUCCACCCGAGACUCAGUGAAAUUGAACUCGCUGUGAAGAUGCAGUGUACCCGCGGCAAGACGGAAAGACCCCGUGAACCUUUACUAUAGCUUGACACUGAACAUUGAGCCUUGAUGUGUAGGAUAGGUGGGAGGCUUUGAAGUGUGGACGCCAGUCUGCAUGGAGCCGGCCUUGAAAUACCACCCUUUAAUGUUUGAUGUUCUAACGUUGACCCGUAAUCCGGGUUGCGGACAGUGUCUGGUGGGUAGUUUGACUGGGGCGGUCUCCUCCUAAAGAGUAACGGAGGAGCACGAAGGUUGGCUAAUCCUGGUCGGACAUCAGGAGGUUAGUGCAAUGGCAUAAGCCAGCUUGACUGCGAGCGUGACGGCGCGAGCAGGUGCGAAAGCAGGUCAUAGUGAUCCGGUGGUUCUGAAUGGAAGGGCCAUCGCUCAACGGAUAAAAGGUACUCCGGGGAUAACAGGCUGAUACCGCCCAAGAGUUCAUAUCGACGGCGGUGUUUGGCACCUCGAUGUCGGCUCAUCACAUCCUGGGGCUGAAGUAGGUCCCAAGGGUAUGGCUGUUCGCCAUUUAAAGUGGUACGCGAGCUGGGUUUAGAACGUCGUGAGACAGUUCGGUCCCUAUCUGCCGUGGGCGCUGGAGAACUGAGGGGGGCUGCUCCUAGUACGAGAGGACCGGAGUGGACGCAUCACUGGUGUUCGGGUUGUCAUGCCAAUGGCACUGCCCGGUAGCUAAAUGCGGAAGAGAUAAGUGCUGAAAGCAUCUAAGCACGAAACUUGCCCCGAGAUGAGUUCUCCCUGACUCCUUGAGAGUCCUGAAGGAACGUUGAAGACGACGACGUUGAUAGGUCGGGUGUGUAAGCGCAGCGAUGCGUUGAGCUAACCGGUACUAAUGAACCGUGAGGCUUAACCUU